rnacentral:rRNA from 1 species
UACGUAGGGUGCAAGCGUUGUCCGGAAUUAUUGGGCGUAAAGAGCUCGUAGGCGGUUUGUCGCGUCUGCUGUGAAAACUCAGGGCUUAACCCUGAGCUUGCAGUGGGUACGGGCAGACUAGAGUGCGGUAGGGGAGACUGGAAUUCCUGGUGUAGCGGUGAAAUGCGCAGAUAUCAGGAGGAACACCGGUGGCGAAGGCGGGUCUCUGGGCAGUAACUGACGCUGAGGAGCGAAAGCGUGGGGAGCGAACAGG